ensembl:lncRNA
AUGAAACCCCACAUUUUACGGGGGAUUGUCAGAAGUGCUUAGAUGUGGAUUCCUAACAUCUGUGAGGUCAUUUGUGACUUUCUCCCUGGAGGCAACCUUCCCUCCCUUUGCCAAAGGGCAAGGUCUGUGGCCUGAGUCCCAGCUGCCUUCCCAGCGUGUGCCAGCCCCUCCCACCACCUUUGCCCUUGGUUGUGUCUGAGAUCCACCCUUUGUAGGGUUGGAGCAACCAGGAGCACCUUGGGAAUCGUGCUGCUGUCACCUGAAUGAUGACUCUAAAUGUCUCCAGAACAACCAGCCACUGUGGAAUUCUCAGGCCCGGUUUCUCAGGGGUCAGCAUGUUCAGAUGGCUGAGCGCUUUGAAGGUUGAAGAAGCCUGGGUGACAGUGCCAGGAGAGGACACCCUUCUCUUCACCAGUUGCCGUGGACAAAGAAUUGGAAGAGAAUAUGGAAUCAGCUGGAGGUUCAAGUGGUGGGGACUCUUUUGGGGUCAGUGUCCUUUGCUGCUUGUUCUGGGGAAAGCAAGUCAGAGGUAUGAGGCUCUUGGGCUUCUCCUGCCACCACCCAGCAUCCCUGGCUGCAGGCUCUGUCCCUCAGCCCAGCCCCGAGGGAGGCGGUGGUGGCUCUUUCCAGAGAUGCCCCCACCACUACCCCAAUGGUAUUCACGCCCCAGUGUAGGUCCUGUCCCUUUCUCUUGAAUCUGGGCUGGCUCUGUGACUUGCUUAUUGCCAAUGGAAUGUGGUAGAAGCAAGGCUACACGACUUCCACGUCAAAAGCAGCCUUGCAGUGGCUGCCUUGGUCUUCUGGAACAGCCUCUGGGAGCCCUGAGCUGCUGUGUAGAAGUCCGACUACCUGAGGCUGCCGUGCUGGAGAGACCUGCUACAGGUGCUCCAGUAGACACUCGCCACCAAGCCCAGCCUGCUUGCCACCAGGCCACCGGACAGUGAGGGAAGCUGUUCUGGACCUUCUGCAAUGGCCCAUCUACCAGCUGAAUGCUGUCAAGUGACCUCAGUCAGGGUCACGCAGGGCAGAAGGAUCACCCAGCUGUGCAGUGCCUGCAUGAACUCCUGACCACGAAACCAUGAGACACGGUAAGUGUUUUAAGCCACUAAGUUUGGGGAAGAUUUGUCACACGGUAAUGGAUGAUACAGGAGAGGCUCUCGAGUUCUGUUCUUCUCAGGUGGAUCCAACCUGAGCUCUUGUCCCAGGAGAACCAGUCCCUGCUGCAGCUGCCCCUCAGCCCCAGAGAUGCCCUGGAGGAGGGCCCUGGCUGACUGUCCAGGGCUUGCCUGGACCCCCAUUACAGGGCAGGAUCUGUACCUUUGGGUCAAAGUAUCUCAUUUACUCAUUCAUUCAUUCAUUCAAAAGAUACUGAGAGCCCCUGUGUGCCAGGCUGUGUUUUGGGCUCUGUGGAGAUAACAAUGAACAAGACAAGUUCCUCUGAAGCUUACUUUCUAGUGAUAGAAACAGAUAAUAGACAAGUAGAUAAUAGAAUUUCAGAGAGAGAGAGAGCUAAGUGCUUUUAAGAAAAUAAAGCCAAGAAGGGAAAUACAGACUCUUCUGAGCAUCUGAUAAAAAGUAAGGAAUUUCUCUUCCAAAAUGUACGGUAUCACACACACACACACAAUUUAGCAUGUAAUUGGGGGGAAUUUAUUCUCCCUGAAGUCCGUCUCUUGGAUCUCUGGGGGCUAUGGAUUCCAGGUUAAGAACAACUGAGAGAGAACCGCUGUGGGGGACACAGGUGAAGUCAAGGAUCCCCACAGGUGGAAUGUGCCACCCCCUCACCAAUGGUUCUGUGAGGAGGUGGUGUCAACCAGGUAACAAACUAGCCCUGUGCCUGUGCGAUGCUCUCAGUCUGGUGCGCGAAAGAUGUGCAAACUGGAAAUGGACCUGGUGGUUAAUCUCAAGGCCGUGCGCACAUGACAGGUGCCUGAGGAAACCCUGCCAGCCGCAUGGCCCAGCUCUGAGGCCCACUGGGGGCCAUGCAGUGAAGUGUUGCUUCAUGCAGCUUCUCACCUAGUCCUCACAAGGGGCCUCUGGUGGAGGAAUCCUGUUGGGCUCGUUUGCAGAGAAGCCACAGAGAAGGUGAGUAACUUCCCUCUUGGUGGGGCUGGACGCUGGGAGGCAGGCUGGGCCAGCCCAGGGUGUGAUUUGAAGGCUGGGAUGGGAAAUAACAUUUGCAGGUGCCUGUGAUGCUCCAGACAGGGUGCAGGUGGCUCCCACACAUUAUGUCAUCUACUCUUCACAACCCUGAAUGCCUUAGAGAUGAGGCCUCUGAGGCCCUGACAGGACAGGAAACCUCCCCAACUCACCACUAGUAAGCCAAGAUUCUAAAGCCGUUUUCACAGCCAGUCCGCCCUGGCCCCUCCUCAUGUUAUGGGUUGUCUAUGGGCAUUGCCCGCCCGCCGCACCGCCCCCAGAUCACUGGGUCAGAACAAAGCAGAAGAGCCAAGCCCCACACUGGCCGCCCUUGCCUGGGCCGCAUGCAGGCCACCUGCUGGGCAGCUCCCAGGCCCUCUGAACUGGGCAGCAAACCACGGGCAAGGCCGAGCCCAUUCUGGAGCUUACACAAGGCUCUCUCUGUUCUGGAAGCAAUUCAGAGACGGCAGCCAUCCCGUGCUCCCCGGUGAAAUGAGGGAGUGUUUGCUCCUGCUGUGAGCUGAUUUUCGGUGGCCUGAUCAGCAGCAGCUUGCUCUUAGUAAAACAAACAGCCUCAUGUGAAAAAACCUUCGUCCAGUUACAUCCAGGAUCAACAGGGGAGGGGUCUGAAGGUACCGCACCCCACUCCACCCGCCCGGCUCCCCUCCCUUGGCUGCUGAGGGUGGAAUCCCAUUUAAACAAUUGCCUGAGCCAGAAGGAACAUUUGAGUCAUUAAUUUCCUGCUCGCUGUGAGAGAAGGCGCACGGAGCUGGCCCAGGCAAGGCCCUUGUGCCCAUUUGUCUUCACACCGUCACUCUGAGUGAGACUCAGGGAGAGCCGUGGAGCCCUUGGAAAUACGGGGACUUAUUCUAGCCACGAUUCCCAGGCCAGAGGAUUGGCAUGGCAAAUGGACAUUAAGGGGAGCUGUUUGGUGAGAAGCCCUCUAAGUCAGAGAUAGAGCCCGAGGUUCUGUCCAGGGCUCUCUCAGCACCCUGCCCGGUGACUUCCAUCAUUCCCUCAUUUGUCUCUUCAUCCCUUCAUUCAUCACAUCCAUACCGAAUGGCCGCUGGGGGCUAGUCUUUGUUACAGACGUCUCGGUUUUCUCCAGCAGAGCCAACCUGCUGGAGGUGAGGCCCAGCUCUUCAAAUAAGUGAGGCUGUUGGCAGCUUCGGCAUCCUGCAAGGGAAGCUGGAGGCUGUCCUUGAGGCAGAAUCGCCCCUGUCCUGGCAGCAGCAGCUCUGGUGGCUUUCUAUGUGGUUGUAUACCCGAAGCAAAUCCAGACUCCCUGCUCUCAGGGCAGCCCUGAGCCUGCAAGAGGACACACAGACCCAGAUUCUUUAAAAAAUAACGGCUUUGAGGCCGACCCGGUGGUGCAGCAGGUGGAAGGAGAAAACAAACACGGCUGUUAGAGGAGUUUGUGCUCUAACAGAACAGAUUCAUGCACCCGUGACAUGAAGACGUGGACCAGAGCUGGACCCCUAUUGAGGACAUGUUAGCUGGAGUUCUAGCAUCCCUCUUGAGACCUGAGACAACCUCAAAGUUGGAAGCUGUGGUCUUAGGAGAGUGGAGCAGAAGCUAGAAGGAGCCGGGGUCUCUGAUGAGACAGUGGGGCCACCAUGCCAGCCACGGGCUACCCACCUCCAACUACUCUUCCGCCAUGAGAAGAAGCCUGGACUAGCCUGCUGAGGAUGAGAGACCGACCACAUAGAGCAGAAUACACACAGGGAGAAGAUGUCCAUGUGAAGACACAGAGACGCAGGGAGAAUGCUAUGUGAAGACAGAGCAGAGACUAGAGUGGUCCAUCUACAAGCCAAGGAACACCAAGAAUUGCCAGCAACCACCAGAAGCUUGGAGUGAAAUGUGGAAUAAGUUCGCUCUCAGAGCCUCCAGUAGGAACUAACCUUGACUGUGGACUUCUAAUCUCCAGAACUAUGAGAGAAUAAAUUUAUGUUGUUUGAGUCACUCGGUUUGUGGUACUUUGUUACAGCAGCCGCAGGAAAUUAAUACACUUGGCCACACCUGGAUGCAAGAGGAAAUGUAGUCCCACGUUCCAGUGAAAACUCCAUACUGUGAUGGUUAGUUUUGUAUGCCAGCUGGACAGGGCCAUAAGGCGCCCAGAUAUUUGACUAAAACAUAAUUCUGGGCAUGUCUGUGAGAUGUUUCUGGAUGAGAUUAACAUCUGAAGUAGCAGACUGAGUAAAUCAUAUGGCCCUCCCUGAUUUGUGUGUGGGGGUCUCAUCCAAUCAGUUGA